rnacentral:rRNA from 1 species
UCGGGAAUUUUGGGCAAUGGGCGAAAGCCUGACCCAGCAACGCCGCGUGAAGGAUGAAGUAUUUCGGUAUGUAAACUUCGUAAGAAUAGGAAGAAUAAAUGACGGUACUAUUUGUAAGGUCCGGCUAACUACGUGUCAGCAGCCGCGGUAAUACGUAGGGACCAAGCGUUGUUCGGAUUUACUGGGCGUAAAGGGCGCGUAGGCGGUGUGUCAAGUCAGUUGUGAAAUCUCCGAGCUUAACUCGGAACGGUCAACUGAUACUGUCACACUAGAGUACAGAAGGGGCAAUCGGAAUUCUUGGUGUAGCGGUGAAAUGCGUAGAUAUCGGGAGGAACACCUGUGGCGAAGGCGGCCACCUGGUUGGAUACUGACGCUGAGACGCGAAAGCGUGGGGAGCAAACAGGAUUAGAUACCCGAGUAGUCCCUGAGCGGGCUGGCAAGGCGCAU